rnacentral:rRNA from 1 species
UACGUAGGGUGCAAGCGUUAAUCGGAAUUACUGGGCGUAAAGCGUGCGCAGGCGGUUAUGCAAGACAGAGGUGAAAUCCCCGGGCUCAACCUGGGAACUGCCUUUGUGACUGCAUAGCUAGAGUACGGUAGAGGGGGAUGGAAUUCCGCGUGUAGCAGUGAAAUGAGUAGAUAUGCGGAGGAACACCGAUGGCGAAGGCAAUCCCCUGGACCUGUACUGACGCUCAUGCACGAAAGCGUGGGGAGCAAACAGG